CCACUCCUGUCAGUGUCACUCACCAGUUUGAUAGUUUGCAACCUGAGGUGGUCCUGGUUUGGGGAGUAUAUCCAUCCAGCCAGAAGCACUAGCAAGAUAGUCUCUCCUGACUCAGGGAAAAAGCUGUCCUAGGGUGAACCUCAACGACACCUGAACAGAAAAUGACAAAAUGUGCAAAGUUUACAGAAAGUGAAGGAGCCACUCUGAAAUCAAGAUUCACAAUACCAAGGCACAGACAUGAAAAUGAAAAAUUAAAAUGAAGGAAGUGAAGGAGGAGGCAUGUUUUCCUUAAGUCACUGAGUUGCCCAGGCUGGUCUCACACUUGAAAUCUUCCUGCCCCAAUCUUCCAGAGUGCUGAGAUUACAGGCCUGCACUACCAUGCCUGUCUGAAGUCCUGAAUUUCUUUGAGAGAGAAAGAAAUUUUGCUGGGAUUUAAAAUAUGAAUAAAAAAUCUGAUAAAACUACAAAAAAGAGAGAAAAGACAAAAAGGACUGUUGUAAAAAUAAGACGCUUUGAAGAAUAUGAAGCAGAUGUUGUGCUGGAAGCUAGUAUGUUCUAUAGUACCACCUGUGCCCACUUAAUUCCAUCAAAAUAAUUUCCCCCAGUAACCAUGAAGAAAGAUUUAAGAAUAUAUGGUGGGGGCAGGGAAAGAAAGCGAGAAUAAAGGCGGUAGCUCAGAUGUGGAGUUCAUCUGCAAAUGGGGAUAACAAUUUACAGCCAGUGGAUGCUUCUGGUCUGUGAUUUAAGGUAUGGUUUCUUUGUCCUGGAGCUUGACUUGUUAGUCAGAUCACCAUGCAAAACUAUUCCACAUGUGUAUGUCUUAAGUGAGAAUUUAUAUGUGCUACUGCUUGUCUAUCUGCCCAUCUACCCAUCUAUCUACCUACCUUCCUACUUAUCUAUAUGAUUUGGUUAACAAUAUGGUAUAGUAGAAGGACAACUUUUUAAAUGAAAAUAGUCAAUGACAAUUUCUUUGUUCUUCCAGCAACUACCUUUCUCUCUUUUCUUUUCUUUUCUUUUCCAUAUAUUUCAUAGUAUUUCCAUGGUUCUCAGUCCAUCUCAGAUGAUAUUGCUUAACCCUUUCCUUGAAGGAAUUUGCUUAUUUUCUGGUGCAACUCUUACGUUAUUAUUCCAAGUGAAGUGCACUGCCAG
rnacentral:lncRNA from 1 species